UAUCCUUCCCCUCAUCCCUUUUUUUUUUCUUUCUUUGAGCAAGCAGAGAAAUUGCCUUUUCCCACCCUGUUUUAAUGACAGGAGCCAUGUGCCCCUUCCUGGAGCAGCUGCCAGAGGCUGUCCUAGUGCAGGAUCACCAGGCCAGCAGACUGACAGAAAAUAUCCUUAUCUUCUGGAGAGUGGUUCCUCUGGCCACCUGGAGAGCAUCUCUGGCAUUUGACUACCUAGAAAAUGGGGAUAAUGCUUGGAGCUGUCAAUGCAGGGACCAUUCACCAGUGCCUGGCAACCUUGCUGAAGUGACUGAAUUAUAUUCCCAUCAGCAGAAAGUAGGAAAUGAGUUACAGUGA
rnacentral:lncRNA from 1 species